rnacentral:rRNA from 1 species
GACGGAGGGUGCUAGCGUUGUUCGGAAUGACUGGGCGUAAAGGGCGCGUAGGCGGCUCGUGAAGUCGGGUGUGAAAGCCCGGGGCUCAACCCCGGAACGGCAUCCGAUACUGGCGGGCUUGAGACCGGGAGAGGAGGGUGGAAUACCCAGUGUAGAGGUGAAAUUCGUAGAUAUUGGGUGGAACACCGGUGGCGAAAGCGGCUCUCUGGCCCGGAUCUGACGCUGAGACGCGAAAGCGUGGGGAGCGAACAGG